rfam:Myotis brandtii contig166561, whole genome shotgun sequence.
CAUGAAUUCGUGGGGUCCCUCGGCCUGGCCUGUAGGAUCGGGCUGAAACUGGCUCUCCGACAUCCCCUGAGAGGUCCCGGAUUUUGAGAGGAUGCAGGCCAGGCCGAGGGACCCCACUGGUGCACG